ensembl:lncRNA
CAGGUGUUUGUUACUAUAGAGGUCUAUUGGACAGGUGUUUGUUUCUAUAGAGGUCUAUGGGACAGGUGUUUGUUUCUAUAGAGGUCUAUUGGACAGGUGAUUGUUACUAUAGAGGUCUAUUGGACAGGUGUUUGUUUCUAUAGAGGUCUAUUGGACAGGUGUUUGUUUCUAUAGAGGUCUAUUGGACAGGUGUUUGUUACUAUAGAGGUCUAUUGGACAGGUGUUUGUUACUAUAGAGGUCUAUGGGACAGGUAAUGGUUACUAUAGAGGUCUAUUGGACAGGUGUUUGUUUCUAUAGAGGUCUAUUGGACAGGUGUUUGUUUCUAUAGAGGUCUAUUGGACAGGUGUUUGUUACUAUAGAGGUCUAUUGGACAGUUGUUUGUUACUAUAGAGGUCUAUUGGACAGGUGUUUGUUUCUAUAGAGGUCUAUGGGACAGGUGUUUGUUUCUAUAGAGGUCUAUUGGACAGGUGAUUGUUACAAUAGAGGUCUAUUGGACAGGUGUUUGUUUCUAUAGAGGUCUAUUGGACAGGUGUUUGUUACUAUAGAGGUCUAUGGGACAGGUGAUUGUUUCUAUAGAGGUCUGUUGGACAGGUGUUUGUUUCUAUAGAGGUCUAUUGGACAGGUGAUUGUUACUAUAGAGGUCUAUUGGACAGGUAAUGGUUACUAUAGAGGUCUAUUGGACAGGAAUAUGUUACUAUAGAGGUCUGUUGGACAGGUAAUGGUUACUAUAGAGAAGGGGUUUGCCAUCUAAAAGUACCAUGGAUUCUGAAUACAAGUAGUUUCUAUAACACAUCCUAAUACCAUGUCUAUCAUUUACAUAAACAUACCCCCCACCCCCAA